AUGAACGCUAGCUACAGGCUUAACCCAUGCAAGUCGAGGGGAAACGACAUCGAAAGCUUGCUUUUGAUGGGCGUCGACCGGCGCACGGGUGAGUAACGCGUAUCCAACCUGCCCAUCACUUGGGAAUAACCUUGCGAAAGUAAGACUAAUACCCAAUGAUAUCCCACGAAGGCAUCGGAAUGGGAUUAAAGAUUUAUCGGUGAUGGAUGGGGAUGCGUCUGAUUAGCUUGUUGGCGGGGUAACGGCCCACCAAGGCAACGAUCAGUAGGGGUUCUGAGAGGAAGGUCCCCCACAUUGGAACUGAGACACGGUCCAAACUCCUACGGGAGGCAGCAGUGAGGAAUAUUGGUCAAUGGGCGAGAGCCUGAACCAGCCAAGUAGCGUGCAGGAAGACGGCCCUAUGGGUUGUAAACUGCUUUUAUAAGGGAAUAAAGUGGGUCACGUGUGACUUUUUGCAUGUACCUUAUGAAUAAGGACCGGCUAAUUCCGUG
rnacentral:rRNA from 1 species